AUGGCCGGCGCGGCGCAGAGGGGGCCAAUGUGGACGCACCGGCCAUCCAAGAAGCCGCCGCCGCCCCCGCACGCCGUCACCGCCGCGCUUCUGCCGCUCCCGCAGGAUGCCAAGACGCUUCCGCACAAAAAGUUCUCCAUACAUGAGAAGAAGGCAUCUGAUGUCGGAAUGGAUCAUGCAAACGGCCAUCAUAGGCCCUCAAGCAAUCACCAAAGAAGUCCCAUUGCGCGGAGACCAGACAGUGGGGGGAUCGAGGGGGCUGUGAUUCCUCUUUCUGCAAAUUAUUUCCUUGUGCGGUUCAGUCCGGAUCAAAAGAUUUUCCAGUAUGAUAUUGACAUUACCCCACAUCCAUCGAAGGAAACAGCAAGAAUGAUCAAGAACAAGCUUGUUCAAGAAAAUUCAAGUGUUCUAUCCGGUGCGCUGCCGGCCUUUGAUGGCCGCAGGGACCUUUAUAGUGCUAUUGAGUUUCAGGAGAACAAGGCUGAGUUCUUCGUCAAUCUCCCAGUUGCAUUAGCACGAUGUCCAGUAGAUAAAAAGAAUGGACACAUGCUUGACAAACAGAAUUUUAAAGUUUUCAAGGUGAACAUUCGAUUGGUUUCAAAGCUAAGUGGUGAGGACUUGAAUAAGUAUUUGACCGAAGAUAAGGAUGGCAUUUCACUGCCUCAAGAUUACCUCCAUGCGCUGGAAGUCAUCUUGCGAGAAGGUGCCAUGGAAAGUUCAGUUCUAGUAGGCCGGUCUUUGUAUCCACGCUCUAUGGGAGAAGCAAGGGAGAUUGGUGGUGGGGCUGUUGGAUUAAGAGGUUUCUUUCAGAGCCUGAGACCAACCAAGCAAGGUCUUGCCCUUAAUGUUGACCUCUCACUCACAGCAUUCCACGAGAGCACGGGCAUGAUUCUUUACUUGCAGAAGCGCUUUGACUUCUUGAAGGACCUUUCACAUCAAAAAGCUAGGGCUUUGUCAGAAGAGGAGCGGAGAGAGGUGGAGAAAGCUUUGAAGAACAUUCAGGUUCGUGUAUGCCAUCGUGAGACCGACCAAAGGUACCAUGUGCAUAGCUUGACCAAGGAGACAACCGAAAACCUCAAGUUUCGAGAUCGAAGUGCCAAAGAUCUUAUGGUGGUGGAUUACUUCAAGGAGCAAUACAACCAUGAUAUACAGUUCAGGAACAUGCCAUGCUUGCAGAUUGGUCGGAGCAAACCAUGUUAUGUGCCAAUGGAGCUUUGUGUAGUUUGUGAGGGUCAGAAGUUUCUUGGCAAGCUCUCAGAUGAACAAACCUCCAAGGUUCUCAGAAUGGGGUGCCAAAGACCAAGCGAAAGAAAGGGAAUCAUAAAGGGCAUUGUCGAAGAAGAAUUUGGUGCUGGAAGUAAUUCUUACACCGACCAAUUCAAUCUCCAAGUGUCAAAGGACAUGACACAACUCUCUGGGAGGGUUCUCUUGCCACCAAGACUCAAGUUUGGUAGUGGAGGGCGCAUUACGGAUAUGACGCCACACCGAUUUGAUCGUCAAUGGAGUUUGCUGGACAGCCAUGUUACUGAUGGCUCCAAGAUUAAAAACUGGGCCUUGAUAAGCUUUGGUGGUACCCCGGAGCAGCACUCCUACAUUCCAAAGUUUGUCAACCAGCUAUCAAGUCGGUGUGAGCAGCUUGGGAUUCUUCUAAACAAGAAACCCGUCAUCAGCCCAUUGUUUGAGCGGAUCCAACUUCUCAAUAAUCCUGGCAUUUUGGAGAGUAAACUCGGGAAAAUUCAAGAAGCUGCAUCAGGCAACCUGCAACUACUAAUCUGUGUCAUGGAACGGAGGCACCGUGGGUAUGCUGACCUGAAACGGAUUGCUGAAACGUCCAUUGGUGUUGUGACACAGUGUUGCCUUUAUCCCAACUUAAGCAAGCUGACCGUGCAGUUUGUGGCCAAUUUAGCCCUAAAGAUGAAUGCUAAGCUUGGGGGAUGCAAUGUUUCCCUCUACAACAGCCUGCCAUGCCAGAUUCCCAGAAUAUUUUCAGAUGAGGAGCCAGUGAUGUUCAUGGGUGCUGAUGUCACACACCCUCACCCACUCGACGACUCAAGCCCGUCGGUGGUCGCCGUAGUUGCAAGCAUGAAUUGGCCUGCGGCAAACAAGUACAUCUCCAGGAUGAGGUCGCAGACGCACCGGAAAGAAAUAAUCGAACACCUGGAUGUGAUGACUGGUGAACUGCUUGAGGAGUUCCUGAAAGAAGUUGGCAAGCUCCCUGGUAGAAUCAUAUUCUUCCGGGAUGGUGUGAGCGAGACGCAGUUUGACAAGGUCCUCAAGGAGGAGAUGCAUGCCCUGCGAGUGGCCUGUUUGAGGUACCCAGGCUACAAGCCCCUGACCACGUUCGUCGUGGUUCAGAAGAGGCACCACACCAGGCUCUUCCACAGGGAGAAGAACGGUGGCUCCACACACUAUUCCGAUCAGAACAUACCGCCGGGGACGGUGGUCGACACGGUGAUCACGCACCCGAGGGAAUUCGACUUCUACCUGUGCAGCCACUGGGGCACCAAGGGGACAAGCCGUCCAACUCAUUACCACGUCCUGUUGGACGAGAACAGGUUCCAGUCCGACGAGGUGCAGCAGCUGAUACACAAUCUCUGCUACACCUUCGUGCGGUGCACCAGGCCGGUGUCCCUUGUGCCCCCGGCGUACUAUGCGCACCUCGCCGCGUACAGGGGCAGGCUGUACCUUGAGAGGUCAGAUUCGGUGGCCACCAACUGCACGACGCUGUACAGAUCCACUCCAUUGCAGACGACGCCCCUGCCUAAGGUCAGUGACAGUGUGAAAAGGCUCAUGUUCUACUGCUGA
rnacentral:rRNA from 1 species